rnacentral:rRNA from 1 species
AGCGAACGCUGGCGGCAGGCCUAACACAUGCAAGUCGAACGAACCCUUCGGGGUUAGUGGCGGACGGGUGAGUAACACGUGGGAACGUGCCUUUAGGUUCGGAAUAACUCAGGGAAACUUGUGCUAAUACCGAAUGUGCCCUUCGGGGGAAAGAUUUAUCGCCUUUAGAGCGGCCCGCGUCUGAUUAGCUAGUUGGUGAGGUAAUGGCUCACCAAGGCUACGAUCAGUAGCUGGUCUGAGAGGAUGAACAGCCACAUUGGGACUGAGACACGGCCCAAACUCCGACGGGAGGCAGCAGUGGGGAAUCUUGCGCAAUGGGCGAAAGCCUGACGCAGCCAUGCCGCGUGGAUGAUGAAGGUCUUAGGAUUGUAAAAUCCUUUCACCGGUGAAGAUAAUGACUGUAGCCGGAGAAGAAGCCCCGGCUAACUUCGUGCCAGCAGCCGCGGUAAGAC